rnacentral:rRNA from 1 species
AGUGAACGCUGGCGGUAGGCCUAACACAUGCAAGUCGAACGGCAGCACAGAGGAUCUUGCUCCUUGGGUGGCGAGUGGCGGACGGGUGAGGAAUACAUCGGAAUCUACUCUGUCGUGGGGGAGAACGUAGCGAAACUUACGCUACUACCGCAUACGACCUACGGGUGAAAGCAGGGGAUCUUCGGAACUCGCGCGAUUGAAUGAGCCGAUGUCGGAUUAGCUAGUUGGCGGGGUAAAGGCCCACCAGGGCGACGAUCCGUAGCGGGUCUUAGAGGAUGAUCAGCCACACUGGAACUGAGACACGGUCCAGACUCCUACGGGAGGCAGCAGUGGGGAAUAUUGGACAAUGGGCGCAAGCCUGAUCCAGCCAGACCGCGUGGGUGAAGAAGGCCUUCGGGUUGUAAAGCCCUUUUGUUGGGAAAGAAAUCCAUCUGGUUAAUACCCGGGUGGGAUGACGGUACCCAAAGAAUAAGCACCGGCUAACUUCGUGCCAGCCGCCGCCGUAA